rnacentral:rRNA from 1 species
GCGCAUCUGCAGUCGAGCGGACGAAGGGAGCUUGCUCCCGGAUGUUAGCGGCGGACGGGUGAGUAACACGUGGGUAACCUGCCUGUAAGACUGGGAUAACUCCGGGAAACCGGAGCUAAUACCGGAUAGUUCCUUGAACCGCAUGGUUCAAGGAUGAAAGACGGUUUCGGCUGUCACUUACAGAUGGACCCGCGGCGCAUUAGCUAGUUGGUGAGGUAACGGCUCACCAAGGCGACGAUGCGUAGCCGACCUGAGAGGGUGAUCGGCCACACUGGGACUGAGACACGGCCCAGACUCCUACGGGAGGCAGCAGUAGGGAAUCUUCCGCAAUGGACGAAAGUCUGACGGAGCAACGCCGCGUGAGUGAUGAAGGUUUUCGGAUCGUAAAGCUCUGUUGUUAGGGAAGAACAAGUGCAAGAGUAACUGCUUGCACCUUGACGGUACCUAACCAGAAAGCCACGGCUAACUACGUGCCAGCAGCCGCGGUAAUACGUAGGUGGCAAGCGUUGUCCGGAAUUAUUGGGCGUAAAGGGCUCGCAGGCGGUUUCUUAAGUCUGAUGUGAAAGCCCCCGGCUCAACCGGGGAGGGUCAUUGGAAACUGGGAAACUUGAGUGCAGAAGAGGAGAGUGGAAUUCCACGUGUAGCGGUGAAAUGCGUAGAGAUGUGGAGGAACACCAGUGGCGAAGGCGACUCUCUGGUCUGUAACUGACGCUGAGGAGCGAAAGCGUGGGGAGCGAACAGGAUUAGAUACCCUGGUAGUCCACGCCGUAAACGAUGAGUGCUAAGUGUUAGGGGGUUUCCGCCCCUUAGUGCUGCAGCUAACGCUCUAAGCACUCCGCCUGGGGAGUACGGUCGCAAGACUGAAACUCAGAGGAAUUGACGGGGGCGCGCACAGUCGGUGGAGCAUGUGGUUUAAUUCAAAGCAACGCGAAGAACCUUACC